UACGUAGGGUGCGAGCGUUAAUCGGAAUUACUGGGCGUAAAGCGUGCGCAGGCGGUUAUGUAAGAGAGUUGUGAAAUCCCCGGGCUCAACCUGGGAAUUGCAUCUGUGACUGCAUAGCUAGAGUACGGUAGAGGGGGACGGAAUUCCGCGUGUAGCAGUGAAAUGCGUAGAUAUGCGGAGGAACACCGAUGGCGAAGGCAAUCCCCUGGACCUGUACUGACGCUGAGGCACGAAAGCGUGGGGAGCAAACAGG
rnacentral:rRNA from 1 species